rnacentral:rRNA from 1 species
CCUACGGGGUGCAGCAGUGAGGAAUAUUGGUCAAUGGACGCAAGUCUGAACCAGCCAUGCCGCGUGCAGGAAGACGGCUCUAUGAGUUGUAAACUGCUUUUGUACGAGGGUAAACGCAGAUACGUGUAUCUUUCUGAAAGUAUCGUACGAAUAAGGAUCGGCUAACUCCGUGCCAGCAGCCGCGGUAAUACGGAGGAUUCAAGCGUUAUCCGGAUUUAUUGGGUUUAAAGGGUGCGUAGGCGGUCGGGUAAGUUAGAUGUGAAAUCCCGAGACUCAACUUCGGAACUGCCUCUGAUACUGUUCGGCUAGAGAGUAGUUGCGGUAGGCGGAAUGUAUGGUGUAGCGGUGAAAUGCUUAGAGAUCAUACAGAACACCGAUUGCGAAGGCAGAUUACCAAGCUACUUCUGACGUUGAGGCACGAAAGCGUGGGGAGCAAACAGGAUUAGAUACCCGGGUAGUC